rnacentral:rRNA from 1 species
UGGGGGAUAUUGCACAAUGGGCGAAAGCCUGAUGCAGCGACGCCGCGUGGGGGAUGAAGGCUUUCGGGUUGUAAACCUCUUUCGCUAUCGAACAAGGCCCGCUUAGGGUGGGUUGAGGGUAGGUGGAGAAGAAGCGCCGGCUAACUACGUGCCAGCAGCCGCGGUAAUACGUAGGGCGCGAGCGUUGUCCGGAAUUAUUGGGCGUAAAGGGCUUGUAGGCGGCUUGUUGCGCCUGCUGUGAAAACGCGGGGCUUAACUUCGCGCGUGCAGUGGGUACGGGCAGGCUUGAGUGUGGUAGGGGUGACUGGAAUUCCAGGUGUAGCGGUCGAAUGCGCAGAUAUCUGGAGGAACACCGAUGGCGAAGGCAGGUCACUGGGCCAUUACUGACGCUGAGGAGCGAAAGCAUGGGUAGCGAACAGG